rnacentral:rRNA from 1 species
UACAGAGGUCCCAAGCGUUGUUCGGAUUCAUUGGGCGUAAAGGGUGCGCAGGCGGCCGUGUGUGUCAGGUGUGAAGCCCGGAGCUUAACUCCGGAAUUGCGCCUGAAACUACAUGGCUAGAGCAUUGGAGAGGGUAGCGGAAUUCACGGUGUAGCGGUGAAAUGCGUAGAUAUCUACAGGAAUGCCGAGUGGUGAAGACGGGCAACUGGGCCUUCCCUGACGCUGAGGCACGAAAGCGUGGGGAGCAAACAGGG